GAUCCUGGCUCAGAUUGAACGCUGGCGGCAUGCCUUACACAUGCAAGUCGAACGGCAGCAUGGAGAGCUUGCUCUCUGAUGGCGAGUGGCGAACGGGUGAGUAAUACAUCGGAACGUGUCCGUUUGUGGGGGACAACCGUCCGAAAGGAUGGCUAAUACCGCAUGAGACCUGAGGGUGAAAGACCGGGGACCGGCAAGGCCCGGCCGGCAGACGGAGCGGCCGGAUGAUUGAUUAG
rnacentral:rRNA from 1 species